CAGAGGGUUAUCAGAGGGUGGUAGGUAGAGCGGCGGAUACCCAUACAGACUGGUCAUCGUGACAGGAUACACCAUACAGGCUCUGGACCGGGGCUGCAGAAGUCAGCGGGUUUCCAUGGUGAUGGACUGAAAGAAAAAGAGAAAUGGUGAUGUACCUUGUGGGAAUAUUGGUUUUUAUGACAGAUCUGAGCCUUGGAGUGGAGAUUUUCCCCCCGUCACAGGAAGUGAUCAUACAAGCGAGGGUGGAAGAAGUCACUCUGCCAUGUAGCUACCAGUCUCAGGGGGCCGCGGUCCGUACACAGGCGACCAUCCACUGGACCCUCGGAGACCGUGACGGUCGACUGAUCCUCUCAGACCAGUACGCUAAUGGGGUCCCGGGAGGGCGAUUUUCCGGGCGAGUCCGGCUCGGUCAGCGGGCGGAUCUGAUCCUGGCUCAACCGAUGGUCUCAGACAGUGCCACAUACACGUGCUCUGUGCAUAUACCAACAGACACGAUUCCCACAGCCUGGGGA